rnacentral:ncRNA from 1 species
CACCGCCCGUCACACCCUGGGAAUUGGUUUCGCCCGAAGCAUCGGACCAAUGAUCACCCAUGACUUCUGUGUCACACUAAUGCCACAAAGGCUUUUAGUGGUCUUAUUGGCGCAUACCACGGUGGGGUCUUCGACUGGGGUGAAGUCGUAACAAGGUAGCCGUAGGGGAACCUGUGGCUG